rnacentral:rRNA from 1 species
UUGGAGGGCAAGUCUGGYYCCYAGCAGMCGCGGUAAUUCCAGCUCCAAUAGCGUAUAUUAAAGUUGUUGCAGUUAAAAAGCCCGUAGUUGAACUUCAGGCCUGGCUGGGUGGUCUGCCUAACGGCAUUGUACUGCUCGGCUGGGUCUUACCUCUUGGUGAGCCAGCAUGCCCUUCACUGGGUGUGUUGGGGAACCAGGACUUUUACCUUGAGAAAAUUARAGUGUUCAAAGCAGGCAUUUGCUCGAAUACAUUAGCAUGGAAUAAUAGAAUAGGACGUGCGGUUCUAUUUUGUUGGUUUCUARAGUCGCCGUAAUGAUUAAUAGGGAUAGUUGGGGGCAUUUGUAUUGCGUUGCUAGAGGUMAAAUUCUUGGAUUUACGCAAGACAAACUACUGCGAAAGCAUUUGCCAAGGAUGUUUUCAUUAAUCAAGGACGAAGGUUAGGGGAUCGAAAACGAUCAGAUACCGUUGUAKUCUUAACCAUAAACUAUGCCGACUAGGGAUCGGAUGAUGUUAAUUUUUWAAUGACUCAUUCGGCGCCUUACGGGAAAC